UACAGGGGGGGCAAGCGUUGUUCGGAAUUACCGGGCGUAAAGGGUUCGUAGGUGGCCACUUAAGUCAGACGUGAAAUCCCUCAGCUUAACUGGGGAACUGCGUCUGAUACUGAGUGGCUUGAGUGCAGGAGAGGAAUGCGGAAUUCCAGGUGUAGCGGUGAAAUGCGUAGAUAUCUGGAGGAACACCGGUGGCGAAGGCGGCAUUCUGGACUGUAACUGACACUGAGGAACGAAAGCCAGGGGAGCAAACGGG
rnacentral:rRNA from 1 species